rnacentral:rRNA from 1 species
UACGGGGGGAGCAAGCGUUGUUCGGAUUUACUGGGCGUAAAGGGCGCGUAGGCGGCGCAACAAGUCACUUGUGAAAUCUCCGGGCUUAACCCGGAGCGGUCAAGUGAUACUGUCGUGCUAGAGUGCGGAAGGGGCUACUGGAAUUCUCGGUGUAGCGGUGAAAUGCGUAGAUAUCGAGAGGGAACACCCUGCGGCGAAGGCGGGUAGCUGGGCCGACACUGACGCUGAUGCGCGAAAGCCCAGGGGAGCGAACGGG